rnacentral:rRNA from 1 species
UACGAAGGGGGCUAGCGUUGUCCGGAAUCAUUGGGCGUAAAGCGCGCGUAGGCGGCCCGGUAAGUCCGUUGUGAAAGUCAAAGGCUCAACCUUUGAACGCCGAUGGAUACUGCCGGGCUAGAGUCCGGAAGAGGCGAGUUGGAAUUCCUGGUGUAGCGGUGGAAUGCGCAGAUAUCAGGAGGAACACCAAUAGCGAAGGCAGCUCGCUGGGACGGUACUGACGCUGAGGCGCGAAAGCGUGGGGAGCGAACAGGAUUAGACU